rnacentral:lncRNA from 1 species
GUUUAUUAGACCCACCACAGGAAAGGAGAACUUCACCAGCAUCAGGAUAUCACACUGUCUUUCUCACCAAGUGAGUCACUGGAUUUCCACGUUCUUUUGUGAGAGAGUGACAGACAUACCACCAAGGAAACGUGCCACUCUUCCCAGUAAAGAAAACUAGAUCUUAGAGAGGUCCCAAAUCACAUGGGAAUUGCCUUGUUGCCCCACCUCCAUCAUCAAUAAAUAACUACUCUUCUUGCCAGGUAGGUCCCCUUCCACAUAACUGUUUAUCGAAAUACUUGUUUAAUAUUUUACACCAUGAAGACAGAAUGAGAGAGAGGAAGGAGUCAGGGGUUACUUGUAGUUUCUGCCUUGAGAUAUUGGGGUAGGAUGGCCCAGUUCUUGAAGGAGGAAGAGUAGUGUUUGCCAGACACUAUGCAAGUUCUGUCUCAGAUGGAUUUAGGAGGGAGCACUUGUCAGUUAUUCAAGUGGCCAAGGGUAAAAGGUGUUGGGAGUACAGGACAAAUGUCAUAGCCAAAUUGACCUGACUUCUAAGAGGUUGAUGCUUACAAUGAAACCAGUAUCACCUUCCUAGAUUUCCUUUUCUUAAGAAACAAGAAGGUAAUAAGUAGUUCUUUCAGAGAUGCAGAAGAAACAUCUAGAUGACUGAUGGGUCAGAAUGGCUUCUUUUCUGCUCACCAACACUGUUCUAGGUAGCUUCUAAGAUGGCCUCUGGUGAUGCCUGCCUCCUUGUGUAAUCAACCCACACCCCACUUGAGUGGUCUGAACCUUGUGACUUGCUUCUGAUCAAUAGGACAAUGGCAAAGGUGAUGGGAUGUCUUUUCCAUGAUUAGCUUAUGAGAGAUUGUCACCUCUCUCUUGCUAGCAGACUCUCCAUUUGCCCUCUUGGCUUUCAUGCUUUGCUGAAGUAAAUGGACAUGUUGGAGAGGUCCAUGUGGCAACUGAAGAACUGAGAGUGGCCUCUGGCCAACAGCCAGCAAGGCACUGGGGCCCUCAGUCCAGCUAUUCUUGAGGAACCAAAUUCUGCCAACAACCUGAGUGAGACUGACAGUGGAUCCUUUCCCAGUCAGACUUUCAGAUGAGACCCUAGCCCUGUCAACAACUUGAUGCAGCUAAGUGAGACUCUGAAGUAGAAGACCCAGCUAAGCUGAAUUCCUGACCCACAGAAAUGAAGAUGAUAAAUAUGUGUUGUUUAAACCACUAACCUAGUGGUAAAUUCUUAGGCAAUAAAUAGCAA